rnacentral:rRNA from 1 species
AUGUGCAUGUCCAUCCUGCCACGCCGGAUCAACGCGGGGUCUAAGUUCUCCUUGUGGUUGGUCGUGAAGACAAUAAUUCGCUCGCCUCCGCAUGCGGACCAUAGACCGUCGAUGAAGUUGAGCACCCCGGACAGCGUCACCUUGGUCUCCUUGUCCUUGUCUUCAUCGUCGUCCUUCUUCUUCUUGCCCUUCUUACCGCGCUUGCCUGUGAGAUCGAUGGAGCAGUCGAUGUCCUCAAUGACGAUGAUCGACUUGCCUUCCGUGUCGAUGAAGAGCCUCUUCAGCUCGGUGUUGUUCUUGACCGUCAUCAGCUCAGGUCAUAGACGUCGUAGUUGA